GGAUUUAGCUCAGCGGUAGAGCGCUUGCCUAGCAAGCACAAGGCCCUGGGUUCGGUCCCCAGAUCCG
rnacentral:tRNA from 1 species